CUGCCCUCCUGGGCGCCUCCGGAAAGCUUUGGGGGCGGAGGCCGCCAUCUUGCAAGAGCGGCCCGGCCCGGCCCCGGCUGGUGAGGAGCGGGGCGUUCUUCGUCGGUUUCUAGAGAGAGCUCAGAGCCCCGGCUGGUGGGUGAAGAAAGAAGGGUCAGAACUACGUGCUUUGUGAGGCACGUGGGAGUUCCUGCAAAGCAGUCCGUGUUGGAGUAGCUAUGGGCUGAUAGACAGUAAUUUCAUGACACCACGGUGAUGCGGUUGCCUUUGUACAGGGAGGAGAGGAGCACCGUUGGAUGGUUAACUCAGACCCUGCGUCUCAGCAUGACAAAGAUUACAGUGCAGAUUACAGCUGUCAGCGUGUCACACAGAUACCUCACCGUUUGUCUCAGAACAGCUACCAAAGAACUGUUGGGAUAAUUCUGUGACCAUCGUACAGGCCUCGUCUGCUACAACUGGAGCAGAACAUGGAGGGGAAAUCCGUUGAAUGCCAGAUUGCAUGGAUGUUUGUGCUGCUGAGCUAGCGAGGGCAGCAACAAUAGUGUGUGAUGUCACUUCUUAUCUCCUGCCUUGCGGUAAUCCACAGCUGCAGUUGCUGUGGGAUCUGGACAUAUGGUUAGAACUCAUAAAAGGCAACAGUCCGUAAGGUCAAUAGACAUAUGUCUGAAAGGCCAAAGAGUUAAUGUGCUGAGAGGUCUGUAAAGCAGGAAGCUGAAAACAAAAUUAUGCAAAUCUAGCAAGAUGUGGAACCUGCCCCCAAAGAAUCCAUAAAACACAUGGAGUACUGUCGUCGUUUUAGUUACGUGACAUUCUGCAAGCUUGGCUUAUUUCUUUUAAACUGAGGAAAAAGCUUCUGCAUACCAAAGCCAGAAAGAAGUGUGCAUAGGUGGACGUAAGUGUUUAGGCUUUAGAAGAUGUGGGGGUAAAGUGUAAUAAUAACACCUGGAAUUUAGACAUGUGGCUAACUUUGCUCAGACUUGCAAGAGGAUCAGGUGGUGUUGUGAGAUUUCUUUGUUAGUUUCAUUUCUGUGUGUCAGCCAUACCAAUCUGUCUUUGGAUCAGUACACUCUGAACUUUGAAGCAGAACUGGGGUAUACUUUAGCUGUAAUGUGUUGUAAGUCCUCCCAGACCAGCUUUUUGUGAGGUAGCUUGGAAUCUGAAGGAAGGUGGCUGAAGCCAAUCUUCCUAUGGUUUGUUUUCUCUCAUGGAGUUCAUUUAAGGUAGUUUCUGAUACAUUGAACCUUCUUCUUAGUAAAACAGAUCAUUUUUCUUAAGCAGCAAUUUCUUCCUACAGCCAUUUGCUGCAGUUGUAUUUUAUUUUGAAGGAACAGUUACUGCUGUCAGAGCAUAACAGUUCCAAUGACCAUUUUUAAUUUUUGUCCACUUAGAGGUCAUUUGACUUUGCUAUAAUGUAGCCUGAGAGAGGAGUUUUACAGCCCAGAGAGAAGAUGAGCAGGAAUUGCUCCCAGAGAUCAGAUGUUAUGUAAGAGCUGUGAUAAAAUACAAUAUUUCAUAUAGAUCCUCCUUACCUCUUAUUUUUCUGUCAAUAUAAAUAAAAUCCUUUACUGGAUUCUUCAGACAAGAAACACAGUUAUUCCAUCUGGUAUGUUGCAAGCACUUUACAAAAAGUGGUGCAAAUUGUGAUAUAUCUCUUAAAAAAAAAAAAAAAAAAGCAACCCUAUAUAAGUUACACACAAACAUAAUAAGCAUAUACACGUGCAAAUACAAGCUCAUGUCACAAACUAGCUUGUUCAGCAUCUCAGCUGUCAGUGUGACAAUGGUUAAAACUCGCAGUAAACAAGGAAAUUCAUUUUAGAAACAAUCUUUUCCUAUCUGAGCUAUUCUGACCUACUCCUAUACUUUGCUAAGAGGCUUCUCUAAAAAUUACCUCUGCUCUCAUGUCUAAAAGGAAAGGUAAAUAAAUCUUCACUCACUCCCCCAACAAUGAGUUGUAGAAAUUGGAAUGACUUCCAGAAGCAAUGUGAGGUCAGAUCUCCCCAUUGGUUUUACUGCCUCCUAAAGUGUCAUAGAACUCAGCACAAGUUAGAGCUUAGGAAGUGCUGUGUUCUGCCCCUGCCCUAGUAAGACCAACAGGCCUCAGCGUUGGCUCUUGAUGGACAAUGUUUGUGCAAGAUCACCGUAAGUAAAAGCAGUCUUACAGCUUUCUAUACAACCUGGGCAAACUGCAGAAUUUCUGUGCACUUAGACAUGAGAUAGUAACUGAAAAUCCAUGGCUACUUUUUUUAAAUUUUUGCUGAGAGAAUCAUAUGUUUUUUUGAUACUGAAGUAGUCUACAUUUCCUGUAAUGUAGGAGAAAAAAGAAAUAAAAUUUUGUAUUCCAAGGCUGGCUGGGGAACAGCAAGAUGACAGAAACAAUUCUAAAUUUGCACUAUUUACAGUGAAGCAAGAAUGAUAUUUACAUUCUCACCCAAGGGACUUUGGCUUUUCUUUUCACCUUUGGCUUUCCUUAACUGUUGCAAAGAACUCUCCUGGAAUUUCCAUUAUCCAUCUAUCCUCUACACCUGGAUUGCCUGUCAGCUGUUGAAACCUCUGUAAUACAUUUCAGACAGAAGUUUGACAAUUGAAAUAGGAGUUAUGGUUGCAGGUAAUCUACCUUGUUCUUGGUCUAGAGAAGCUAUGAGUUAAGGAUGCUUUCCAGAAUCUGGAUAAGCAUUGCCUUUCCCUCAUCUAGAAUAUCUUUACUGUGUCCACAUUUACACAUUUGCUAAACAGUGCAAAUUUGCAUAGGUGAGUCUGUAGAAGACAGAUUAUAUUCCUGUUUUGGAAAAAUCUUUGGCUUUCUUCAUCUGCUCAAGGAUUAUUCUCUCAUGUUUUUACCCACCUCUUUUCCGUAACACAGACUGUGAGUGAGUGAGAGAAUUAGUUUUAGACAAGGUUGUAACAAAAAAUCAUUCAGCUGAUUGAUGGUUCCUUGUAAGGAACUCUGGGUUAGAAUGUGUCUAAGAUUUGUUUAAAUUGAAGUAGAGGCUGUGCCUCCCUGAGAGGAAGAAACUAGAAUAGCAGUAAAAUGUCAUAUAAUGCACACCUGAUGAGUUUAAAAUUGGUCCCAAAGGGAAAGGGAUUAGAAAUGUAAUUUUAAUCCUUCAUUGAAAGAAGCAUGGGCAGGCUAUUACUUGUGUUACACUAUAUAGUUUAGUGUCCAAAUAGAUUUGUUCCUUAAGCUACUACAAAACAUGAUACAUUUUGGGGAACUAGGAAAAAAUAGAAUGAAAUAAAAAGGGAAAAAAAAAAAGGAUAUGUGCAGGUUUUGCUAUAUAUCACACCCAGUACUCUUUUUUAAGGAGAAUGAAGUACUGGUUUAAGUGAUAGAGAACAGAGAACAUGGGGCAAACAAAUUCUAAGCCUGCUUUGAUACCAAAGUGAGGUGAGCCAUGAAUUUCAGUAUUUCUGCUCUCCUUACAUUAACCUUUGAAUCUACAGUCCUCAUGCUUCUUGCUGGGAGGAAAUUACUUGAAGAUGGAUACUUUAUAAUCCUACUCUUCCUCUCCAAUCUUUGCUGGUAUAUUUCCAGAGUUCAUUUCUGCAAAUGUCAUCUUAUAUAUAAUGAUCUUCACUGAAUGGACAAUAUUUGCAGCAGUUUGAAACCUUGAAAGCCAAGUUAUUAUGGGAGAUAGGGAGCUUAAUGUUUUGGUGAAUUUAGACUCAAGAAUAUGUGCAAACCUCUUGGGAGAAUUUUACUCCUAGCAGAUAUAUAUAUUAUUGAAUUGGGCUGCAGACAUUGAACUGUUUUACUUGGAAAGCCUAACUGUAUUUGUGUUGCUGCUGACUGCUGAGGAGGUUUUUUAGAGCAAUGGAUUGUUUUCAGUACUGCUUUCUUUGUUUUACUCCUUGAUGACUGUCGAGUUCAGCAAUCUUUCUCAGUAUUCACAUAUAUAAUCUGCUCUUUUAUGUUGACCCAUGUCAGUCUGAUCUUUCUUGUCUUGGAUACCAAGACAGGAUAUCUGUAAUCUUCUUUUCCAAAGGUCCUCUACCAGUGAGCAAUGCCUGUGAUACCCUUUGCAUCAUUUUGACAUCAUGCACUUUGCAUUAUGUAGAGUACAUCAAGGAAUUUGUGAUAAAAAAACAACAAACAGUAUUAUUUAAUAUUGAUAUGAUUACGCUGUACCUUAUUUACAGAACUCCUAGAUUUACCUUGAAAUUCAGCUGAAUAAAUAGUUGAUAAAAGAAGUAAUAUCUUAACGUGAGUGAACUCCAGAAGAACAACAGGAGAAGCUGAAGUUUUAUUUCACUACGGUUUCUCCAGAUUGACCUGCUUUUUAUACUCAGGAUUAUUAAGAAUUAUUCAUAGAGUCAUCGUUGUGUUUCAUGCUGGUAAAAAGCUUGAUCUGAAAAGGCUGAAAAUGUGCUCAUCUUUUCUGAACCCACCUUGUAAACUGUAAUCUGAAUGGCUUCCACCAGUAAAGCCUGAGAUAAUAUAAAGGUUGAAAUGAUAUCAGCCAAUAAUAUGGAAUGAUAUUCAUCAAAAUGUGCCAUGAAGAUAAUUCAUUAGAUUUUACAGGGUAGUAAAAGUCACCGAGAGGUGUGUGUGUGUGUUUAUAUGCAUAGUGUGCCAGAGCUGAAUAAAAACCCAUGUGUGA